rnacentral:rRNA from 1 species
AGAGUUUGAUCCUGGCUCAGGAUGAACGCUAGCGGCAGGCUUAACACAUGCAAGUCGAGGGGCAUCAGCCGAUGUAGCAAUACUGGGUGGCGACCGGCGCAAGGGUGCGUAACGCGUGAGCAACAUGCCCGUAUCAGGGGGAUAAUCCAUGGAAACGUGGUCUAAUACCCCAUAGUAAGUUUUUGAGGCAUCUCGAAGAUUUUAAAGCUUUGGUGGAUACGGAUUGGCUCGCGUGACAUUAGCUGGAUGGUAGGGUAACGGCUUACCAUGGCUACGAUGUCUAGGGGUUCUGAGAGGAAGGUCCCCCACACUGGAACUGAGACACGGUCCAGACUCCUACGGGAGGCAGCAGUGAGGAAUAUUGGACAAUGGAUGGAAAUCUGAUCCAGCCAUGCCGCGUGCAGGAAGACGGCCCUAUGGGUUGUAAACUGCUUUUGUAUGGGAGCAAUAAGAUCUACGUGUAGAUUGAUGAGAGUACCAUACGAAUAAGCACGGCUAACUCGUGCCAGCAGCCGCGGUAAUACGGAGGGUGCAAGCGUUAUCCGGAUUUAUUGGGUUUAAAGGGUGCGUAGGCGGUUUGAUAAGUCAGCGGUGAAAUAUUUCAGCUUAACUGGAAGGGUGCCGUUGAUACUGUCGAGCUUGAAUUUAGUUGCUGUGGGUGGAAUGUGUGGUGUAGCGGUGAAAUGCAUAGAUAUAACACAGAACACCAAUUGCGAAGGCAGCUUACUGGGAUACAACUGACGCUGAGGCACGAAAGCGUGGGGAUCAAACAGGAUUAGAUACCCUGGUAGUCCACGCAGUAAACGAUGAAUACUAACUGUAUGCGAUAUACUGUAUGCGGUACAGCGAAGCGUUAAGUAUUCCACCUGGGGAGUACGUUCGCAAGAAUGAACUCAAGGAUUGACGGGGCCCGCACAGCGGAGACAUGUGGUUUAUUCGAUGAUACGCGAGGACCUUACCCGGGCUUGAAAUGCAGACGACCGACCAGAAACUGGUCUUCAGCAAUGGCGUCUGUGUAGGUGCUGCAUGAUGUCGUCAGCUCGUGCCGUGAGGUGUCGGCUUAAGUGCCAUAACGAGCGCAACCCUUAUCAUUAGUUACUAACAGGUUACGCUGAGGACUCUAAUGAGACUGCCACCGUAAGGUGUGAGGAAGGUGGGGAUGACGUCAAAUCAGCACGGCCCUUACGUCCGGGGCGACACACGUGUUACAAUGGGGGGUACAGAGGGUCGCUACCUGGUGACAGGAUGCUAAUCUCAUAAAGCCUCUCUCAGUUCGGAUCGGAGUCUGCAACUCGACUCCGUGAAGCUGGAUUCGCUAGUAAUCGCGCAUCAGCCAUGGCGCGGUGAAUACGUUCCCGGGCCUUGUACACACCGCCCGUCAAGCCAUGGAAGCCGGGGGUGCCUGAAGUCCGUAACCGCGAGGAUCGGCCUAGGGCAAAACUGGUAACUGGGGCUAAGUCGUAACAAGGUAACC